AUGCUUUCUUUGGCAUUAUAUGUACUAAAAUUGGAAUGAGGCAAAGAUUAGCAUGCCCCCUGCCAAAGGAUGACACACAAAUUGGUGGUGUUCCUAUUUAAA
ensembl:snRNA U6 U6 spliceosomal RNA